CUGGGGCACUGCUGUCCCUAUGCUGUGGCACUGGUGUCCCUGUGCUGUGGCACAGCAGCAGCAUCAGGCCCCGAGCACUCCCAGCUGCCACUGGAUGUGAUGUGUGCUGCAGCUGGGUUCACAUGUGGCAGCAGAUGAGAUUUAUGCAUUUGAUGUGAAUGAUAUCUGUCAUAUAUCAAGGGACUCCUCUUCAGACCCAGAGACAAAUGGAAUCAGAAAGACCAGGUACUUUCUUUCAGCUUUCUGCACAUCUUACUAAAUAACAUGCAAAGAGUUCAACAGCAUUCUUCUUAAAAUGUAAAUAUUACUCUUUAAAUGGGCAUGUUAACCACUGAAA